rnacentral:lncRNA from 1 species
CGUAAUAACUCCGUUUUCGGCGUAAUUAGGAAUGAUAGAGAUCCGCCCCAUGCCUGGGGGGACAGGAGUGUGCAGGAUCCCUUUGGUUGGCACGCGGGAUGGUGUGCGGAGGGCGUGCAUUGGUGUCGCCUGCGGGCAGUUGAGGGAGAGACUUGGGCAGCAUCUCCAUGAUGUUGCAUCUGGGAGGGCGUCUGCUGCACUCAGCGGCGCGGCGCUUCAGAGGGGCAUCGACGUCCUGUGGAGCCGGGCCGCUGUUUUGGAGAGUAGCAUCGGGAGAGACUGUAUUUGCGAAAAGUGGCA